rnacentral:rRNA from 1 species
AAGAUGGCUUUGGCUAUCACUCUGGGAUGGACCUGCGGUGCAUUAGCUAGUUGGUAAGGUAACGGCUUACCAAGGCGAUGAUGCAUAGCCGAGUUGAGAGACUGAUCGGCCACAAUGGAACUGAGACACGGUCCAUACUCCUACGGGAGGCAGCAGUAGGGAAUCUUCCACAAUGGGCGCAAGCCUGAUGGAGCAACACCGCGUGAGUGAAGAAGGGUUUCGGCUCGUAAAGCUCUGUUGUUGGAGAAGAACGUGCGUGAGAGUAACUGUUCACGCAGUGACGGUAUCCAACCAGAAAGUCACGGCUAACUACGUGCCAGCAGCCGCGGUAAUACGCAGGUGGCAAGCGUUAUCCGGAUUUAUUGGGCGUAAAGCGAGCGCAGGCGGUUGCUUAGGUCUGAUGUGAAAGCCUUCGGCUUAACCGAAGAAGUGCAUCGGAAACCGGGCGACUUGAGUGCAGAAGAGGACAGUGGAACUCCAUGUGUAGCGGUGGAAUGCGUAGAUAUAUGGAAGAACACCAGUGGCGAAGGCGGCUGUCUGGUCUGCAACUGACGCUGAGGCUCGAAAGCAUGGGUAGCGAACAGGAUUAGAUACCCUGGUAGUCCAUGCCGUAAACGAUGAGUGCUAGGUGUUGGAGGGUUUCCGCCCUUCA